rnacentral:rRNA from 1 species
GAUCCUGGCUUAGGAUGAACGCUAGCUACAGGCUUAACACAUGCAAGUCGAGGGGCAGCAUGGUCUUAGCUUGCUAAGGCUGAUGGCGACCGGCGCACGGGUGAGUAACGCGUAUCCAACCUUCCCAUAGUAGGGGAUAGCCCGGCGAAAGUCGGAUUAAUACCCUAUGUUAUUCGAUGCAGACAUCUAACUUGAAUCAAAGGUUUACCGCUAUGGGAUGGGGAUGCGUCUGAUUAGGUUGCAGGCGGGGUAACGGCCCACCUGGCCCACGAUCAGUAGGGGUUCUGAGAGGAAGGUCCCCCACAUUGGAACUGAGACACGGUCCAAACUCCUACGGGAGGCAGCAGUGAGGAAUAUUGGUCAAUGGGCGAGAGCCUGAACCAGCCAAGUAGCGUGCCAGGAUGACGGCCCUAUGGGUUGUAAACUGCUUUUAUGCGGGGAUAAAGUGCGGCACGUGUGCCGUUUUGUAGGUACCGCAUGAAUAAGGACCGGCUAAUUCCGUGCCAGCAGCGGC